AGCCCACGUGACAAUCGGUCAGGCGCCGCUUUCUAGAUGUCCGCGCCUUGCUGGCCCGGAGUGAGCGCUCUGCACUGUCGGACCGCGUCUCGGUGGUUCUCCUGGACUCUGUUGCCAGGGGCAACGAGGGCGCUUCCAGCGGGAGGCUGUGCUUGGGCGCCUUCCACCGCAUUCCCCAAGGAGUGACAGGAGAGGGAGGGACAGACCUACGACCCCACGGAGAAAGCGCUGGCCUUGUCCGUUUCCCUCCUCAAGAACCAUCUCUGGCUCCCCAGCGGUUACGUGAUAAGGUCCCAACUCAAUAUGGGGGCAUUCAAGGUUCCCACGAGGCAACCCGGUGGUCCGCCCUAGUAGUCCCCCACGCACACAGUGUGGGAGAGAAUGAAGAGGAUGCACAGAGCUGGGGCUUGGGGACCCACGAUGGCGGACCCCAAGGGUUUAAAUUAAGGAGAUCGGGAGAUUAUCCUCAGAGCACUGACGGAGUUUAAGGAAGAAUGGAAGAAUAUGGUGCCGCCCAAACUUUAACCUUCCUGAAUUUCAGUUUCCUCUCUAUGAAAUGGGGAUAAGAAUAGUACCUGCUGGACUUCCCUGGCGGCGCAGUGGUUAAGAAUCCGCCUGCCAAUGCAGGGGAUACGGGUUCGAGCCGUGGUCUGGGAAGGUCCCACAUGCCGCGGAGCAAUUAAGCCCGUGUGCCACAACUACUGAGCCUGCGCUCUAGAGCCCAUGAGCCACAACUGCUGAGCCCACGGGCCGCAACUACUAAAGCCUGCACGCCUGGAGCCCGUGCUCUGCAACAAGAGAAGCCACCGCAAUGAGAAGCCCGCACACCGCAAGGAUGAGUAGCCCCCGCUCGCCGCAACUAGAGAAAGCCCACGCGCAGCAACGAAGACCCAACACAGCCAAAAAAAAAAAGACAAUUAAGCCUCUAGGUCUAAUUUAUGGGAAUUACAAGGGAUGGACAAAGAAUAAAACAGCCUCACAAGGGAAUUCCCUGGCGGUCCAGUGGUUAGGACUUGGCACUUUCACUGCUGAGGGUCCGGGUUCAAUCCCUGGUCGGGGAAAUAAGAUCCAACAAGCCGAGUGGCAUGCCCCGUCCCCCGCCAAAAAACAAAAACAAAAACAAAAACAGCCUCAUGAGGAGAUAGACAAAUCCAGACUGUGAGACAUUCUCCAAGCCGACUGACCUGGUUGCUCCAGAACAUCAACGUUGUGAAAAAUAAACAAGAUUCUAAUUAAAAGGGAUUAGAGGGAUAUAAUCUUUACUUGUAGUGCAAGAACCUUGAUUUGAUCCCUGUUUAAAAAAAAGCUGCAAAAACUUCUUAGAACAAUGAAGAAAAUUAGAAGUGGACUGAAUAUUAAAUAAUAUUUUGGCAUAAAUAUGAAUUUUCUUUGCUGUGAUAAAAGUAUCACACUUAUGUAAUAAAACGUCCCUAUUCUU
rnacentral:tRNA from 1 species